UACGGGGGGGGUAAGCGUUGUUCGGAAUUACUGGGCGUAAAGGGCUCGUAGGCGGCCAACUAAGUCAUACGUGAAAUCCCUCAGCUUAACUGGGGAACUGCGUGUGAUACUGGAUGGCUUGGAUUUGGGAGAGGGAUGCGGAAUUCCAGGUGUAGCGGUGAAAUGCGUAGAUAUCGGGAGGAACACCUGAGGCGAAGGCGGGCUACUGGGCUGAUACUGACGCUGAGGCGCGAAAGCUAGGGGAGCAAACGGG
rnacentral:rRNA from 1 species